AGCAGCCGCGGUAAUUCCAGCUCCAAUAGCGUAUAUUAAAGUUGUUGCAGUUAAAAAGCUCGUAGUUGAAUUUCGGGAUUCUACCGUCGGUCGGGCUAACAAGUCUGUACUGGUGUGUAGAAUUUCUACCUUCUGGGGAACUAUCAUGUUAUUAAUUUAGCGUGGUGGGAAACCAGGACCUUUACCUUGAAAAAAUUAGAGUGUUCAAAGCAGGCUUACGUCUGAAUACAUUAGCAUGGAAUAAUAGAAUAGGACGGUGGUCCUGUUUUGUUGGUUUCUGAAUCACCGUAAUGAUUAAUAGGGAUAGUUGGGGGCAUUAGUAUUCAAUUGUCAGAGGUGAAAUUCUUGGAUUUAUUGAAGACUAACUUCUGCGAAAGCAUUUGCCAAGGAUGUUUUCAUUAAUCAAGAACGAAAGUUAGGGAUCGAAGACGAUCAGAUACCGUCGUAGUCUUAACCAUAAACUAUGCCGACUAGGGAUCGGACGAUGUUAAAUUUUAUGUACUCGUUCGCGCCUUACGGG
rnacentral:rRNA from 1 species